CGUUUCCACCCCCCCCCCCCCGGAAAAAAACGUUCUCGAAGAAUACUGAAUUGAAGAUCGGACCACGUGGCAUGAGAUUCACCUGUUAAAUCUGGCUGCUUGCCAUUGUUUUAAUAUUCCAAUUGUUUCCACGUGCUCACUUAACCUCAAAAUCUCGGAAUCUUCACCGUUCAUGUUCACUGAUUCUUCUACUUUCCCGCUUAUUUGAAGGCCUGGGGCUUUGACAAUGAAAAAAAAGAAUUGUUUGCUACCAAGUACGUUAUACACUUUAUUAAAAGAAUAGUGGAUAGAGCAGACAAUGUUCUCACAAUAUAUAGAACAUUGGAAUGCUCCAGAGUAACUGGUGCGCCAAAAUUGAAGACUCUUGAUAAUACAUUAAGUAGACUCAAUAAUAUGCAAAAUCCUUUAUAUAGGGUCUGGGGCUUUGACAAUGAAAAAAAGAAUUAUUUGCUCUACUAAGUACGUUAUACACUUUAUUAAAAGAAUAGUGGAUGGAGCAGACAAUGUUCUCACAAUACAUAGAACAUUGGAAUGCUCUAGAAUAACUGGUGCGCCAAAAUUGAAGACUCUUGAUAAUACAUUGAGUAGACUGAAUAAGGGUACAAACAAGGUGAUAUCGUUAACCAGUCGAUGUGAUAACGUUGAUACUUACAUUAACAAUGGGUGUUUCAAAACCAAUCUUAGAUUACGUUAUAUUUUGCCACCAAGAAAAUCUGAGUUGGCCAUUUAUCGAGAGCAAUCAAUUGAAAGAAAAAUUUGAUGAAAUCCUUGACGGUGCAAAUCUUAAUAAAGCACUUGAAGGUAUUAUAAAACAUAUGAAAGAAUUGGCUGUAGAGACUUGAAAUUACUUCAAGAGAAACGAAAGAAGAUUUGCAAUUUCGUGAAAGUAAUUCCUUUAAAAUAAGUAAUGAAACUUUGUCUUUCAAACGAAAGUUUGUAUGUAUGAUUAGAGAGUAUUAAUUAAACAAUCAGUGGAAAGAUUAAAACAGAAUGUAGAAAAAGAAUUUGUUGGUUCAGUGGAGGAAUUACUUGCUGAGAUUGAAACAUGCGAUGAAGAAAUAGACGAUAAAGUUGAUACAUAAUAAAGGGGUAGAGCUAAUGCACCAAAAUUUGAGACCCUUGAUGAUACCCUGAGUGCAAGCUAUCGAUAUGUUCUCAUCCAAAGCAAGAAUUCCGCAAUCUUUACAGAAAUUGUGAUUUACAGUAAUUGUCAUCAGAACUUGAAAUUAUCAUUCUAUAAAUGAACAAAUUUACCGUUUUUAACAACUAUGUUUUUGCUAAAGGAAACCUUACUGUCUGUCCAGCACUAAAGCGAUCUUUUUGCACCACUUAUAGAUUAGGCAGCAUCUGUGUGAAUUUCUAUGGAUGUAGUAUCCGGCCACUGGGUACAAGUUUCCACAGCUUCUUCAGAAUUUUGUUGAACGAUGCCAUACGCUCGUGAUUUUCUAGGACAGCUCUAUUCACUGCUCGACUGCAAACCUGCAAAUUUAAUAUAAUUUAUUGAAAAACCUGAUUUAAGAGAUAAAUAUAGUACAGAUAAGUAUACAGUAAUAUUAUACUAGCACAUUACAAAGUAGAAUAUUGUUACAUUUACCGUUAUUUCUGUACACUUUUUCCUAUAUCUAUCAUGUGCUCAUUUGUACGUAUCCCGCAUUAAUUCUUCAGUGCCUUGUUUUAUUACUCUUUCUAAUUCUUCUUGAUUAUCUAUCGAGAUGUUUCUCUAAACAGAGUUUGAAAUAUAUUACAUAUCCACAAAGAAAUAUUGUUGCAGAAUAGUGUAAAAUUUCAUCAUAGACAUUUUGAAUCAAGAAAGUUAACGUACUGCAGGAAAUAUUAAAUGUUUAAUAAAUUAUUUUUAUCAAAAUUAAAGAAAAGCAAGACCACAAAAUGUCUACGAUACUGCUGUACGCUAGAGAUUGUACUUAAAUCCUUGUCGAAUAAUUAGUUCUUCAAAAUUAACUUACUUUUUUAGAUGAUCUACUCGUCUUACGAGGACUUCUUCUUGAUUAAUAAAUUGUAUUUGGCUUAUCUAAAACAUAAAUGUAAUCAACUUUAUUAAUAUAUAGAAUUCUUAUGAAAUAGAAAUUUGAUAUAGUUUGUAAGAUA